rnacentral:rRNA from 1 species
GGCGAACGGGUGAGUAACACUUGGGUGAUCUGCCCUGCACUCUGGGAUAAGCCUGGGAAACUGGGUCUAAUACCGGAUAGGACCAUGCUUUAGUGUGUGUGGUGGAAAGUUUUUUCGGUGUAGUAUGAGCCCGCGGCCUAUCAGCUUGUUGGUGGGGUAAUGGCCUACCAAGGCGGCGACGGGUAGCCGGACUGAGAGGUUGUUCGGCCACAUUGGGACUGAGAUACGGCCCAG